UCGACGGCAGCACGGGUGCUUGCACCUGGUGGCGAGUGGCGAACGGGUGAGUAAUGCACCGGAACGUACCCAGUAAUGGGGGAUAACACAUCGAAAGAUGUGCUAAUACCGCAUACGCCCUGAGGGGGAAAGCGGGGGAUCGCAAGACCUCGCGUUAUUGGAGCGGCCGAUGCCGGAUUAGCUAGUUGGUGGGGUAAAGGCCUACCAAGGCGACGAUCCGUAGCUGGUCUGAGAGGACGACCAGCCACACUGGGACUGAGACACGGCCCAGACUCCUACGGGAGGCAGCAGUGGGGAAUUUUGGACAAUGGGCGCAAGCCUGAUCCAGCCAUGCCGCGUGAGUGAAGAAGGCCUUCGGGUUGUAAAGCUCUUUCGCAAGGAAAGAAAACUUACCUUCUAAUAAAGGGUGAGGUUGACGGUACCUUGAUAAGAAGCACCGGCUAACUACGUGCCAGCAGCCGCGGUAAUACGUAGGGUGCGAGCGUUAAUCGGAAUUACUGGGCGUAAAGCGUGCGCAGGCGGUUCGACAAGUCUGAUGUGAAAUCCCCGGGCUCAACCUGGGAACUGCGUUGGAAACUGUCGGGCUAGAGUGUAGAAGAGGGGGGUAGAAUUCCACGUGUAGCAGUGAAAUGCGUAGAGAUGUGGAGGAAUACCGAUGGCGAAGGCAGCCCCCUGGGCUAACACUGACGCUCAUGCACGAAAGCGUGGGGAGNCAACAGGAUUAGAUACCCUGGUNG
rnacentral:rRNA from 1 species